CGUGUUCUAAAGCAAUGAAUAUAUGGAGAAUGUCUUAAUGAUUCCAUUAAAUUUUGGAAUAUUCAUAUUUGGAAUAUUCAAGAUGAAAGAUUUUAGAAUAAUUUAUCAAAUAUGUUAUUUUUAAAUCUGUUUAACAUAUAAUUGUGAAUAAGAAAUUUUACCACGUAGGGGAUUUUAACGUUAUUGUUUUGCUUCAUGUAUAUAACUAUCUAAAAUCUCAGAAAUGUGUCUUUCUUCUUCAUACUAUUGAAUUGUUUUUUCGAAAAAAGUUAUUCUUUUUUAAACUAUGAUUUAAUGCAUUCGUGAUAAUAAAAGAUAAGUCGAUAUUUAUGCAAAAAAUUGACGAAACGUAUGAAUUCGAUUGUUUCUUACACAUAUCAAUUCAAUUGUUUUUUACGUGUAACAAUCUGCAAAGAUAUAGUAAAUUACUUUAGUUUUAUUAUUUAUUCCAUCAAUAUACUGUUAAUAUAAAUUAUUAUACAAGCAAUGUCACAUAAAUAUCAAAAUGUUAAUGAUUUAUCAACAGUAGAAUUUUCUGAAAAUAAUGACGAAGAUUUAACAUUUUUUUCAUAUAUAGACGAAGCAACAAAAGAAUGGCUUAAAUCAUUAGAACAAAUAUGGCAAAUAUGGAAAAAGGGUGAUGUUGUAAAUAAAACAUUGAUAGAAUAUUUUGAUAGUGCACCUAAUCCAUAUUUAAGUACAGUACGAAUAUUAGUAAAUACUUCAGAUUUUAAACAUAUAAAAAAAAAUUCAUCAUUAGCGUUUACAGUUAUAGAAGAAUAUGCAGAAUGGAUAAAAUCAAGAAAAGAAAUGUAUGAACAGUUCCUAGUUCUAGAUUUAAAAUUAGCAACAUUUCAAUUAAUUAUUAAGCAAAAUAAUAUGGAAUUUAUUAAAAUGGUUGCAAGUACAUAUAAGUUUGUAGAACAUAAAGAAGAAUUUCUUCAUAUAAUACAGGAAAUGAUACAAGAAAAGAAAUACAAAGAGGCAGCACAGUAUGCAGUUAUAUUAAAAUUACAAGAAUCUUUUUCAGAUCCAGAAUCUUUAAUAUUACCACUUAUUUUACAAAACAAAUUAACAGUUGUAGAAGAAUUUUUAACUGAUUGUCCUCGUUUACAGGAAGCUUUAGUUUUGUAUUUGGAUAAUUUAAUUGGACCUGAUAAUAGUAUGCAUAACUUGCUAAAUGAAAUAAUUAUAAAAAAUAAAAUACCAGAUGUAAAGAUGUCAAUCACAAAUACAAAACCUAUGGGUAAAUUAAUAGCACGUUUUGUCAAAUUGUAUAAUCUUCCAUCAGAACUUUGUACUAAUUUAAAUAAAAAAAGAUGUGAAGGUGUUUUACAAUAUCUCAUACAUAAACGUUAUAAAGAAUAUAGUUUAAGUACUGAUAGUUGGAGAGAAAUGGUGCAAGAUGCAGUAAAGGAUGAUGAAACAUUACAACUAACUAUGAUAAGAAUGUUACUUAAUACCAAAGAUUCAAGUGAAGCUUUAUAUUGGGCUAAAAAGUUUAACGUACCUAGAGAAAAAUGGCCAUGGAUACUUUCAUAUGAAGAAGAACAAAAUGAAUCUGAAAGUAUAAAUGAAGGAGCUUCGACUAGCAAAAUAAAUGAUUGGGAAGAUGACAAUGAUUUUAUGAAUUAUUAUGAAUUAAAGCUAUCAAGGGAUUCUAUUAAAAUAAUAAAUAAUCCUUAUAGUUUUGAAAAGUUUCUUGAUAAAGGAUUAGAUGGUGUCUCUAUUGUUGGUAUUGAUUCAGAAUGGAAACCUUGUUUUGGUACAAAACAAACAGAAUUAGCUUUAAUACAAAUAGCUACCAAAGAUAAUGUGUACAUUAUAGAUGUAACUACAAUGGGAAAUAAGUUUACAGAAUUAUGGGCAAAAUUAGCCUUAGUUUUAUUUGAAAACAAAAAUAUUUUAAAACUUGGUUUUGGAAUAGCUCAAGAUAUGACUGUUAUACGUAGUAGUUUGCCUGCAUUAUCGAAAAUAAAAAUAUAUGGACAAGGAUAUUUAGAUAUUGUAAAUUUAUGGAAAAAAUUGGUAGAAGAUUAUAAAUUUGUUUUUCCACAUGAAAGUGAUGAUCAAUUUACUAAAAAAAAUUUGAGUAAGCUUGUAGAACUUUGUCUUGGACAAAAAUUAAAUAAAUCUGAUCAAUUUUCUAAUUGGGAGCAAAGGCCAUUAAGAGAAAGUCAAAUAAUAUAUGCUGCAUUAGAUGCAUACUGUUUGUUAGAAAUAUAUGCGACAUUAGAAAUUCAAUGUGAACAUUUGGAAAUACCAUUUGAUGAUGCUUGUUUAGAACUGCAACAUAUUCCAUUUAAAUCAUCAUCACAAAAAAAUAUAAGAAGAUUAGCACAAAAGUCCCAUGUAGGUAAGAAUAAAGGAUAUGAUAAACAACAACAAAGAGAUUUAUCAACAGAAAAAUUAAGAAAUUUUAGGAAACUAAAUUGUCAAAAUCAUAUUUCUAACAAAUCAAUACAAUCAACAUUAUCAAUGAGGAUCAUGAAUUUAAAUGAAUCACAUAACAUAAAUAAAUCAACAUGUCACUAUACAAAACAAACAGAAUUUCAUGUAAACAAUAAAUCUCUGAAUAUUGAGAAGUUUAUAUAUAAAAAAAUACACACAUGGCGUGUAGUUUGUGAUUCAAUGUUAGGUGGAUUAACAAACAAAUUGCGAAUGUGUGGAUGCGAUUGUGUUCAUUUUGCAUUUGAUCAGGGUGGAGAACGAUGUGUUAAACUAGCAAUGCGUGAAAAAAGAGUGUUUUUAACUCGUAACAAAGGAUAUUUAAAAUUUUUUAUUUUAUUUAUAUAGUUUUUACAAUACAUACCAUCUGAAGAUUGCUAUUUUGUAUUGUCUGAUACUCCUGAUGAACAAUUAAGAGAGUUAUGCUGAACUAACUGGUAAAAAUAAUUAUCACUUUUCUUCAAAUCCAUCGUAUCACGAUGAUACAUAUUCGUAUUUAACAACGGAUGCAGAGAGUAAUGAUUUGGAACGCAAUACUAAUUU
rnacentral:misc_RNA from 1 species